CGCACAUUGCGCCCCCUGGUAUUCCAGAGGGCAUGCCUGUCCGAGCGUCAUUACCCACCCUCAAGCCUGGCUUGGUCUUGGGUCCCGUCGGCCCCACGGCUGGACGGACCUGAAAGGGAAUGACCGAUCCUGGUGAGGCCCCGGAUGCAGCGAGCUUCGAGCACGCGUCACGACGGUCUCCAGGGUCUGGCUCAACCGAAUCAUCUCUGAUUGACCUCGGAUCAGGUAGGGAUACCCGCUGAACUUAA
rnacentral:misc_RNA from 1 species